UCGACGUGCUCCGAGGUCCUGCAGUGAGGAAGCACCACGAGAUCCCUGCAUAAAAGGCAGCACCGACCUUUCAGCUGUCCCCAGUUUCAUUAAAUUUGCCCAGGCUGCUUGCUGCUCAAAAGGUGAGUGACAGCCCAUCUUGGCAAUACCCUAGCAUCCCGGAAAUACUGGAGGAUUUUCUUUUCUAUGGGUGGGGAGAGGAUCCCUCUCUCUGCAGGCGGGCAGGUCAAAUGCAAGGUUUGAUUGCCCACAGAAAUGGUCCAGCACCUUGUCCAGCUCUGGCCAAUGCUGAGGGGGAUCCUCCAGCACUUCUUUUCAUCCUAGAUGCACCCAUUUUUCCUGGAAAAUGACUUUAUAGACGGCUCUCCACACCCCGAGUCCUGUGACUUCUUCCAAGAAUUUACUCAGGAUUUUUUAGAAAAAUACAUCUCGGUUCCAGCCUGACUUUCCAAAUAUUGCCUUUGCUGAGGGGUCAGCCUGCAGCCUUGUACUGGGGUCACCCUCUGAAGCCCUGUUACAUCUGUCAACCUGAAGGUUUUGAGGUCAUUGACAGCACCGUGCAGGGUAAAGCUCCCUCAGCCUGCCCAGCCCGGAGCAGAUACCCCAGGGGACUCCACAAGGACUAACAAGAAGCUGUUAUCUCUGCCUGUUGCCAUAGGUGAUGGUUCUUCUGCUCCUUUUUUUUUUUUUUUUUUUUCCCCAUGCUCAGCUAAAAACAACCCAUACUCACUGGUGUUAUAAACUGUUUGCAGCAAGAUAAUUACCUAUUAGAAAUUCCACAAUUAUUUCAUUACACAUUAUUAGAGAGAGAGGAAAAAAAAUAAAAAUGUCAAUCCCAUAAUAUAGUUAAUGGAAAUUAUUAAAUUGUACAAAUAACUUC